rnacentral:lncRNA from 1 species
CAGACUGAGAAGCAGGUGCUGCAUUUGCGUCGGCGGUAUAAGCUGGAGGUUGCGAAUAGGCAUUUCCAUAGCUAUUGUUAUAUGUAGGUGGAGGCUGUCCAUAGGCAGAUUGCGUUGCAGGAGGUGCACCAUAUGGUGGUGGAGCAUAACCUGAAGCUUGUGCAGCACUAUAACCAGCUGCUGGAACUCUUUGAGCACCAGGAUCUGGCUGAGCAUAACCAGUUUGUGACGGGGGAGGUUGAGGAUAGCCUGGCUGCACCUGAGCAGGUUGAACGUAACCCCCUUGGGCAGAAGGGGACUGCUGGGUCUGCCCAUAGGCUUGUUGGGUGGCUGGAGGCUUCUGAGUUUGAGGUGCUCCAUAACUCGAGACAUACCCUGAAGGCGGUUGAGACCCGUACCCAGUUUGUGAAGUUGGUGGCACACCAUAACCCGGCUGAGUUGGCAUCUGGGAUGGGUAGGCAGAAUUAGGACUGGGCUGCUGGCUAGUGUAUCCUUGCUGUCCUGGAGCACUUGAAGGAGGUGCUUGAUUGCCAUCACCUUGAGCCCCAUAAGAUGGAGUUUGCCCAUCCGGUGUUGCGUUAGCAACAUUAGAAUAUCCUGAUGUAGUAUUAUAUGCUUGUUGCUGAUCAUAAACUGGCUG